CCUUAAAAGGGUAUAGUGGUCAGUAUCCCCGCCUGUCACGCGGGUGCCCGGGGUUCAAUUCCCCGAAGGA
rnacentral:tRNA from 1 species